ACCAAAACAUUACUUAUUUCCUCAUAGACCCGGAGCAUGAAGAUUCGGACUUGACCUGAAUACUGAAAAGUAUUUUACUAUUUAAAAAUAACAAAUUAAUAAUUAUUUAUGGGAUAUAUAGAGGAUCUAUAAUAAGGAUGCAAAAUAAAUAAUGGGAAUUAUAUUUUAUCGAUGAUAACCUCGACGAAAAUUGUAGCGCCCUCAUUCAUCUGUACAAACUUAAGUUUGAUAUUUUUCGUGCCUUAGACGAUACUACAAGUAGAUCCAGACAUUACUUAUUUCCCCAUGUUUCCGUAGCAUGAUGAAUUGGACUUGACCUAAACACUGAAAUGGUGGACUCCAUUGCAGCUCUGAAUAUUGGAUCUAAUGGAUCUUUACUCUUUUAUUAUAUUUAGUAUUUACUAUUUAGAAUGAGAAAUGUGUAGUGGCCUCAUUCAUUUGUACACAUUUAAGUUGUGCGUACAAAUUUUCUAUAACACAGAUUUAUAUGCCAUUAAUAGAUAACUUUAUCGUUCUUGAUUUAUUGAUUUCAUCACUGCUUUCAGCCUUAACAUUGAGAUCGAAUUGAUGUGCUCGGUCUAGUAAUCAAUCAUUUUCGAUCAUCAGAAUUAAGAAACAAAAAUUU
rnacentral:lncRNA from 1 species